CUCUGCUGGGCCAUCACUGACGCUCAUGGACGAAAGCCAGGGGAGCGAAAGGGAUUAGAUACCCCUGUAGUCCUGGCCGUAAACGAUGAACACUAGGUUCGGGGGGAAUGACCCCCUCGGUGUCGUAGCCAACGCGUUAAGUGUUCCGCCUGGGGAGUACGGUCGCAAGAUUAAAACUCAAAGAAAUUGACGGGGGCCUGCACAAGCGGUGGAGUAUGUGGCUUAAUUCGAUGCAACGCGAAGAACCUUACCUGGCCUUGACAUGCAUCUCUAAGCGUGUGAAAGCACGUGACCCUUCGGGGAAUUUGCACAGGUGCUGCAUGGCG
rnacentral:rRNA from 1 species